GGGCCCAUAGCUCAGCUGGUUAGAGCGGAUGACUCAUAAUCAUCAGGUCCUAGGUUCGAUCCCUAGUGGGCCCA
rfam:Candidate division TA06 bacterium 34_109 MPJ_scaffold_0, whole genome shotgun sequence.